UACGUAGGGUGCAAACGUUGUUCGGAAUCACUGGGCAUAAAGCGCGCGUAGGCGGUCUGAUAAGUCCUGUGUGAAAGCCCCCGGCUUAACCGGGGAAUUACACAGGAUACUGUAGGGCUAGAGUACAGGAGGGGAGAGCGGAAUUCCUGGUGGAGCGGUGAAAUGCGUAGAUAUCAGGAGGAACGCCGGUGGCGAAAGCGGCUCUCUGGUCUGUUACUGACGCUGAGGUGCGAAAGCUAGGGGAGCAAACGGG
rnacentral:rRNA from 1 species